rnacentral:piRNA from 1 species
UGCCUAUGAACACACACAGAUGAAACUU